UACGCCGACGAUUGAGAGCACACGACUCUUGCCUUUCCCAACAAGAUUUGGAUCUCUUCUCCUUGCCUUCUGAUCAAAAUGCACAGAGAAACCUUUCAUCUAUGUCUCCGUUACCACUACUUGGUUGCCGACCAUUGGUUCCAUCGUCAAGUUGCUCUCCAGGUCUCUCUCUCUCUCAUGGCGAUUUCAAGAUUGGAACUUGGAAGAUCUUCACCAUUCUUGGAAAAAGUUGGAAUUAUUGUUUUUUUUUCUUCUCCAAUUUGUGAAUUACAUGGGUUUUGCUCUGCCAUCAUCUCAAGGAGUCACUUGAAUAAUUGUGGUCUUUGCUGUUUUGGCUCUCUCUUCUCUGAUGAGUGAUGGACUUUGGAGAAUUUGAAUUAUUGCUAUUUGGAAGGACCCAAAGGUCAGCUCUUUUGUGCACUUGAAUUGAACGGCUUAUUACACUGUGAGGGUUAUUGGAUUGACAGUAACGUGAGAAGAGGAAAGAUGUAAUUGAAUAUGUUCAGAGACUCAUCAGAUGUUCUCUUGGAUUUGAGGUGAAUUCAAUGCCUCACUUUUAGUUUUGUGUGGUUAAAUUGUUACCUGGGAGGUUCUGUUUUGUGGGUAUAUAGUUUUUUGAUUAUUUAUAUACUUUUUUGCAAUCUUCAAUAUAUAGUUAGAGGAACCCUCUUUCAUGUUUGGAGGAGUUGAAAUUAUUGUUCAAAUGCAUGUGAGAGCAAUUCAAUUUCUGAGGUGUUCAGGCAUGGUUAUUUUCCAGUGAAGAGGCUUCACUCUACUUUUCUGUGUAUCCUGUGAACAGUUCUUUUGUUCUUUGCCUUAAAUUUUUUAAGUUGUGUUGGUAUGUUGUUGUUGUGGGAUAUAUUUGAUGACUCAUUUCCAUUCAGUAUUAGUUGAAUUUUAUAGGGGUUGACAAUUUAGGGGAAAUUUUAUUGUUUGUCUUAUGGCUUCCAAGUGAAAUCAGGAAUUCAUUAUGAAUGAUCACUUAGGAAGCAUUUUAGCUCUUAUGUUUAGAUGAUUUGAGGCAGUUAAGCUGGCAUUGGCGUGGCUAUCUAACACUUGUUACAUCUGGCAUUGUUGAGUCACCCACAUAUAGUGUAAUAAUUUAAUACAACCUGAGGGGUGGACAUCCUUUGAUCGUGUAGUGUAGCCUAUUUGGUCUUGAAUAUAUGUGAAACAUUGCAUUGAAAAGUUAGUUAAGAAAGGUUUUGUUCAACCUAUUUUAGGGCAAUUAAUAGAUUGGGGAAGUGUUUCUACCAUUUGCUACUGCCCUAUGAUCUAAUUGUGGUAUGCCUUUAUUGCAGUCAUUAUAUUUGGCACCCAUUUUUUUCAUUAGUUCUUGGUUCUUCCUUUUCUUAUUCAUUUUUGUAGGAAGAAGGAAAAAAAACCUUAGAAAGUUACUAUCACAAACCCAACAACCACUUAAUGAGAGGGGCUGUUAGUUAUGCGAUUACUAGUUUUUGGGGGCGAGUGUGUAUUUCAGGGAGUUAAAUGUAUUUGUUAGAAAUAUCAAUGGAGGUCAUUGUAAUUUACCCUAAAUAAUGUUAUGUGAAAUUUUAUCUUUGACAUACAUUAGUUUUUCUAAUCAUUCUUGGGACGGAGAAUUUUUUGAUUUUUUAAAAAAAAUUAUUUUAUGCAUGUAAGAGAGACAGGAUUUUUUUUUUUUAAUCAUUUUACAUUCUUUGUUAACUUGGUUUCCUUCAAGUUUAUUGCCAGGGGAAUUUAUGUUUGUCAAAACCCUUAGUGGGGGUCAUUGUAAUUCACUAUUUUUUAUUUUAAAAAAAAUGUAAUGGGGAGUAAUCUGUUUUUUUGUAUGAACCUACAUUGUUGUGUUGGAAAUUGUUAUAUCAAAUCAACCCAUAUGUUAUAUCAGCCUACCCCCAUCAGACCAUGAUUCGUGAUAGGCAAACCACCUUGUUUUUUGAUAGGUACUGUAUUGUAGUAGAAAAGAGUAACCAAGGGUGUGCAAUCCUUUUGCAAAAUAUGGACAAUCAACAUGGAAGAGUGCAAAUGAUGUGUAAAUGAUGAUGUAAAACGAUCUUUGAAUUGUUUCUUCACUUUGAACCUAUUUGAGGGAGCUAAUAUCUAUAAUUUAAAAUA